rnacentral:rRNA from 1 species
UAGGGAAUCUUCCGCAAUGGACGCAAGUCUGACGGAGCAACGCCGCGUGAGUGAAGAAGGAUUUCGGUUCGUAAAACUCUGUUGUUAGAGAAGAACAGCGCAUAGAGUAACUGUUAUGCGUGUGACGGUAUCUAACCAGAAAGCCACGGCUAACUACGUGCCAGCAGCCGCAGUAAUACGUAGGUGGCAAGCGUUGUCCGGAUUUAUUGGGCGUAAAGCGAGCGCAGGCGGUCAAUUAAGUCUGAUGUGAAAGCCCCCGGCUCAACCGGGGAGGGUCAUUAGAAACUGGUUGACUUGAGUGCAGAAGAGGAGAGUGGAAUUCCAUGUGUAGCGGUGAAAUGCGUAGAUAUAUGGAGGAACACCAGUGGCGAAGGCGACUCUCUGGUCUGUAUCUGACGCUGAGGUUCGAAAGCGUGUGUAGCAAACAGG